CUGUUACAGCCAACAAUGUGUGCAUGGAUGCUGUCUGAGUCUAUCUUACUAUAAAAAUUUGUGAUUCCUCGUACUAUAAAAAUUUCUGAUUCCUCGUUGUCAAAAAAUGAAUAUCAACAAUGUCACCUUAUAUUUGUUUAUACACGGCAUUGUUGUUCCACAACAAUGCCGUGUACACCACAACAAUGCCGAGUAAACAAAUAACGCUUAGUACCAAGCCAGUCGCAUUAUCACUGCUCUACAAGCAGCACAUCGUCUCCGAACAGCGACAUUAGACUAUUUAAGAAAUGAAGAAAAGUGAAAGACGUUACCAUUACCAACAAGUAGCCAAGACAUCAUAGUGUUGAAUGAGAGGAUGAUAGUGAAUAAUGAACUGGAAAGGAUAUGGAAAGAAACUGUCAUUGCCUAAUUUGAGGUGCCAUCCUGGCAGUGGAUAAAAGGAUUGAGGAAAACCAGGAAAAACUUCAUUCAGAAUAGCUGGCCACUGGGCUCAGAUCCAAAGCUGGGACCUCCCAAAUAUGAAGCAGAAGUGCUGACCACGACAUUUCACAACUACACAUAACACAAUCAACAGGAAAUAUUGUCUUUUUUUAAUAUUUGGUUUUAUUACAAGUAGAUAAUAUAUACCACAAUGAAUGCUAGAUAGUAUUUCUGAAGUUUAUUUUGCUAUUAAUUUUAUCAUAAACAUGUUUUAUUUA